rnacentral:lncRNA from 1 species
GCACACAGUCAUCAUUGUCAUCAGCAACUGGAGAUGGACUAGAAGAAUGUAACGGAGCACACAUCUGGCAGCGUGACAUUAUUCCUAUGGGGUGCAAUGUGCCCUCUGUGCACGGAAUCAUCACUGUGGAUUUCUGCUUCAGUCCUGUGGGCAUGAGCUGUACUGUGUGUGCACUGAGGAGAGCCAGAAAGGAGCACGGAGUCAUCACCUGAGGGGAAACAAAAUUCAGAAACGAGGAGGGGAAAUUUCGGUGCUUAUUUUUAGACUCUGUGGUGAAUACAGUGAGCGGAAGGAAAGAAGAUACCAUCUUAUCAAAGGAUCUUCUGGUUUCCUUUAUAAACAGCUAAGAAGCAGCUUUACCACUUCCCUCAGUAUUGAGCGAAGGCCUUUUGGAAGGACAAUAGAUGAUGUGUCUACCAGAAUUCUCUUUGGCUGUCUUAGAAUGUGUCCUCACUUUGCGUGUCAAAAAAAACAGAUACUGCCUUAAAGCCAGAUGCUUCUAGUUAGUUUGCAGUGUUGUAUUUUAAUCUGACAUGGGGAAAGAAGAGUUUGGUCUUUGACUCAGGAAACCUGCUUUUGUCACAGCUCCUGAAGCUGUCCUUGUGACUGACUUCAUGUGA